UUCUUUUUAAACGCUUAUUCUCUUUCAUGUUCUCUCUUCUUCCACCGCCAUGCCGCCUCUCUGUUUUUCCUUUUUCUUUUCUCUUUCGAAGCAGACUGCCUCACAAAGAAUUUAAACCCAACACGACGAAGACGAAGAAUAUUUUCAACUAUCAUCGACAAUAUAUUCUCUCCGCGAGACUGCCUAUCGUGGUAUCUCUUUAUCCGGAAAACAGUAUCGGCGUUCAUGUACUCAACGUCACUCUCUCCUCUGCUGAUUGCACAAAAUUGCCUGAAAAUCCUCGACCUGUUCUUUCAAAAGCGCAGAUUCUCUGAUACGCAGACACGAUCCAUUCCCCGUGUUGCGUCCAGAAUCCUAUUUUCAGACAUUGUUGCCUGAGUGGAAAAAGUUUCAAGGAAAUUUUUGAUUUGACUAUAAGUUAUGGGUUUCCAGAGAAAUUAAAGCGCCGAUGAUGUUUAGAAGGGUUGGCUUCUCCAUAUGACCUGCAAGGUCAUCAACUUUGAGUUGCUCCACAUCUCAAGAACAGUCUCUGAUUUGGAUAUAUAAUAUGUUGUUACCACUUCUCGCUUUCUCCUUCCUGCGUUGACUGUUUCGCUAUAAUUCCUCUCAUAUCUUUUCCUGGUCAAGACUGCAGGUUAGGGGCCUUCUGAGAUCUAUCCUUUUGCUACUUUUUCCCAAAGAUCGAUAAUGAUUUAAUUCCAAUGAGAUCCAGCGUUACAAUGUGUGUAUGGCCAUAUGGCACUUGGGGAGAGGUCAUAUUUGGCAGUACAUGCCUGAUUGGUUGCGUUGAAAGAAUGAGAGUGAGAUGUGUGGAAGUAAUGUGAGAUGAGAAAAAUUAUUUGUUAGAAUUAACAAGAUCGAAGUUUGUAAUUUACAUGUUUGACCUUUGCCAUGGCGGGUGUGCUCACAUGGUAGGUCAAAAAGUACAAUAAAAUUCACAUUCUUUUGGUUUUGGGGAGAUGGGGAGACGGCACGAGAUAUUAAUAGAUUAUUUUGGCCCGGCUCUCCCUAUCUCUCAUUUGUCUGCUUGUGUACCUUUUUCUCUAAUCUCUUGUAUUUAUUUUCUAAACAGCAAUAUAAAUUAUAUAUGCGUUUUAACUCGAGCGCAGAAUGCAUACAUAGAUAACGUCUCAUCAAGAAGUACAUUGGGCAUCAUGGCAUUAGCUGGAAAGGGAACAUAUAUCCUAGAGUUUAUUUAUUUAUUUUUUCAAUAAACAAGUUGUAAAAACAUCUUAAUAUAUAACAAUUUGCCUUAUUCCUUAAAGCAAUUGUUGUUCUGAA